AUGGGCGCCCGCCCACCGGAGGAGCGACUGGAGUUGAUCGGCUGGGCGCUCAGGUAGCGAAGAUAAAUGUAAUCUUGUGGCAGGAAAUCGACAUUCUCUGCACUAUCUUUAGUUUUCCAACUGAACUUCUGAGAAAUGGAGGCUACAAUACCUAGUUUGCCAAACAGGAGAAGACUACAAUUCCCAGAAGGAACUGCGACCAACAUUGGUCCGUGCUCAUACUUUGCAUCAUGGGACUUGUAGUCAUCACCAGCUUGCGCUGAUUCUAACAGUUUCACUCUUGUUGCCCAGGCUGGAGUGCAAUGGUGUGAUUUCAGCUUACUGAAACCUCCACCUCCUAGGUUCAAGAGAUUCUCCUGCCUCAGCUUCCCGAGUAGCUGGAAUUACAGCUUCAGAUCCAAAUGGUAUGCUAGCAUUCUCUUCCUAGCAGUCCACUGUCAAGACUUCACUGUUAGAAGAAGAAUCACACCAGAAUUAAGGUCAAAUGGAUUAUCUUAUUCUUAAUUGCUGAAAAUCACACCUCAUUGAAAUUUGCUUCAUAACUGAACCAUGAAUUUUUCAUCAAACAUACUUUUGUGUUUCUCCUCCUGGCAUUCUUUAUGAGGAACUUCUUUUUGGAGCUCACUGACUUCCUGUUCUAAUUUGGUCCAGUUAUUUUCUAGAAUUGCUACAUGACUGUCAUCCUGGGACAUCCUUCUGUUGGAAUCUGGGAGAGCUUACAACUUUUCAUAUCCUCUCUUCUUCUUUGUGUUUUUCACCCUGAAGUGUACAAAGUCAAAUGAAUUUCCUAGAAAAACUAGUGAGUUAAUAUUUUGAGUCCUUGUGAUAUGGGAGGGGGGCAGGGAAGUGCUGGGUAGAGAAGGGUGGGGUCCCUGGUGAGGGCUCCACUCUCAGGCCUGUGCUCAUGGACCUAAAUGAGGACAGGCAUUUCUGUUUUCAUGCCCCAAAUGUUGCCUUUUGGCCCACCAUGCGCCCCAUCCUGUACCCAUAAAAACCCAAGACUUGAGAAGGCACAGACACAAGUGGCGGGACGUCAAGAGAGCUGAAGAACACAGCAACAGACACCAGCAGACAACAUCAGGCCAUCGAUGGCUGCAUGAUGUGGAAUUUGGCUGGGGGCAGUUGGAGGAGAGUCUGGCUAUUGGGCGACCUGACUCCAGGGGAAGACUACCUUCCCACUCCAUCCCCCUUGGGGCUCCUCAUGCAUCUCACGAGAGCUACCUCCACCACUCAAUAAAACCUUGCACGCAUCCUCCAA
rnacentral:lncRNA from 1 species